rnacentral:misc_RNA from 1 species
AAGUCGUAACAAGGUCUCCGUAGGUGAACCUGCGGAGGGAUCAUUAACACGUAUCCAAACGUUUAAACCAAACCGUGCUCUUGUUGCCCAUAGAGGGAGGUGUACUAGUAAGUCACAGAUGGAUUCCUCUCUUUUCUCUUCGGAGAGGAGAGAGGACUACUUACAGUCUAUCGAUCCUUGAGAUCAACCGAUUCUCUAUGGCGUAUUAAAGCCAUCUGGUUACUAGUGCCAACCCGGUUCCGACCCGGAGCCUAGUAGCCUUAUUAAACCAAUUUUUUAACCCCUUUAUUUAAUUAUUACUGACUUAAACUAUUAUUCUAAACCGAAAGGUCUGGGAUUAGUUGUAUACGAAACGCGAACAACUCUUAGCAAUGGAUAUCUUGGUUCUC